GUCGUAUAAAGAUGUAUUAACUGCAAGACAAGUUAGCAUUUCCCUUUACGGCAUUGUAAAAAUUUAGAAGUUUAAGCAAAAGUAAUUGUUGCAUGGUAAAUAAUCGAAACAAUUUGAGUUUGAAUGGAAGAGGUUAACUGUAUGACCUUGUGUUGAAAAACACUAAAAACAAUCUUGAAAUAAUGAUUUUCAUUAUUCGAGUUACAGUCCU
rnacentral:ncRNA from 1 species